rnacentral:rRNA from 1 species
UACGUAGGUGGCAAGCGUUAUCCGGAAUUAUUGGGCGUAAAGAGCGCGCAGGUGGUUUGUCGCGUCGUCUGUGAAAUUCCGGGGCUUAACCUCGGGCGUGCAGGCGAUACGGGCAAUACUUGAGUGCUGUAGGGGAGACUGGAAUUCCUGGUGUAGCGGUGAAAUGCGCAGAUAUCAGGAGGAACACCAAUGGCGAAGGCAGGUCUCUGGGCAGUUACAGACGCUGAGGAGCGAAAGCAUGGGUAGCGAACAGGAUUAGA